UUUAAAAACCGCCUUCACUGGAACAAUGUUACUGGAGUCUUCACUUUGUCAGACCUACAAAUAGAUGAUUCUGGGGUUUACACUGUGGAGAAUGCAGAUGCUGAAGAGAAGAUGACACAUGCAUUUCAGCUGACCGUGUACUAUGUUCUGUCCAAACCUCAGGUGACGGUCCAUGAUAACAUCUCCUGUAGCUUGGUGUGUUCUGUGGAGAACGGGAGAGAUGUGACCCUGUCCUGGUACAGAGGAGGGGAGAUACUCAACCAGACCAGCAGCCCUGACCUCAACAUCACCUCUCUCUACCUCUCAAGGCUGAUGAACAGAACAGAGACUCUUACAGAUGUGAGGCUGCCAACCCAGUCAGCAAGGAAACUGCUGAUGUUCCAAAUUCCUCUAUAGAGAGUGAUCCCUCCAAGGUGACAGGACUUGCAAUCUAUCUUAAGAAGAGGAGAAACGGACACUCUCCUGCAGAUUCAUCUGAAAGAAACCUGAUGGCGUUCAGUAUGCAGAGAUCUCACAUUAAACCAGCAGAUAAACAGGAGGUGUGAACUGGUAUACAAGGACUGGAGUCACUUAAAGACAACCCUAACCUGACAUCAGUUUAUGAUACACUCCAGUUACAUCACAUGGCUGACAGCGAGGAUGUUGACACUGCAUGAAGG
rnacentral:lncRNA from 1 species